CCUCCGUCCGCUGCUGCGCCGGGCGCGUGCGCGGGCCGCGCGCUCCCGCUCGGGGUCGCCCCCCCCAACGUCAGGCUCUAGAGCCCCGCCGGUCGCCGGCGCCUGAGGGGUAGCGCGGGCUGCUCCCCCCGCAGCAGCGCGUACGCCUCGGCGGCGGCGCCCCGGCUCCGGGCUGCAGCUGUUGUUGCCAUGAUGAUGAUGUCACGGGCGCAACCACUCGGGGAGCGGCGGGGGGAGGACGCGGGGCUCACGCACACGCAUCCCGCCCCGGGAACGAGGGGAGGGGGGUGAGGAAAAUGUCCGCCCGCCGCUCUGCCCCGGCCGCUCCCUCAGGAAGGGGGCUCGGCGGCUCGGCGCUCGGCCGGGCGGGCUUGGGGCGAGGCUUGCGGAAGCCCGAGCCGCCGGUGGGGCGGACCGGGGAGCGCCGAUGCGCCGCCAUUGGGUUAAGGCGGGCCGGCCGCCAUUUUGGAUGCCGAGUCGCCUCGCUGCGGGAAGGUUUUACCUUGGCCUAACAUCAGAAGAACCUACCAGUGAAUGUGCGUACAAGAGAACACAUAAGUACUCAAGGAAAUGAUAUCAUCUGAAAUGUAAAAAUGAAUAAAGAUUUUCACAAUAUCAACUACACUAUUUCUCAUGUCUAGACUCUUCUCCCAGCACCCAUAGUUUCAUCUCUUCCACAUUCCAUAUUGAGCACAGUUUAGCAGAAGCUGAGAGCAGUUGCCCUGCAGAAGGACACGAUCAGCACAAUGCUGCUGGCGAGGAAGCAGCAGCCUUCAUCUCCAGCUGAGUUCAGAAGGCUGUUGUUACUGUUGUUGUAUGACCAUUACUUAUGCUUAUAUUUGAAAAGCUGCAUUUUCUGGGGAAAAAAAAAAAAAA